GCCUGGGUGGCUCAGCGGUUGAGCACCUGCCUUCGGCCCAGGCAUGAUCCUGGAGUCCUGGGAUCAAGUCCCACAUCAGGCU
rnacentral:tRNA from 1 species